CUGGGAGGAAGCAGAAAAGCAAAGACCAAGCUCGUACUUUUCAGUCCGCGGCUUGUGUGCCGCGAGGAGAGGCGCAAAGGGUGACACACCAGGAAAGGUAGCAGGCAAGAGUGUGGUUAUCGUUGGACCAGGAUUCAGGAUCUGACUGAGUAGCUGACUCUUAAUCCAGUUUGUGUUGAUCACCAGGAGGAUCUGGACCUCAGUAUUACCACAUCUAGAGCUAUAAUCACAUCCCUGUUAAGCCUUCCUGAGAUCACACCAAAUGUCCUUGAUGGGAAUUGUAAACAACCCUUACUUCUGGUUUCUAAUGAUAUUCCAGGAAAGGAGCCUAACUAGAGUCAGUGAUAUGCCAACUCCACCUUUGCCUUCCACCAUGUUUGGAAGCUCCCUGAGGCCUCACCAGGAGCAGAUGCUCGUCCCAUGCUUCCUAUAAGCCUGCAGAACUGGAAAAGAAAGCUGGAUAAAGUAUUUAUAGAAGAUAGAGGACCUGUGGUGGCUCAUGCCUGUAAUCCAAGGUGGAAGGAUUGCUUGAGGCCAGAAGUUCAAGACCAGUCCAAGCAACAUAGCAAGGCCCCAUCUCUACAAAAAAUGAAAAUAAAAUUAGCCGAGCGUGAUGGCUCAUGCCUGUAGUUCUAGCUUCUAGAGAGGCUGAGGCAGGAGGAUUGCUUGAGUCCAGGAGUUCAAGAUUACAGUGAGCUAUGGUCACACCACUGCACUCCAGCCUGGGUGAUGGAGUGAGACUGUCUCAAUAAAAAGACAAAAAGGCUGGCCAGGGGCAGUGGUUCAUGCCUGUAAACCCAGCACUUUGGGAGGCAAAGGCAGGAGGAUUGCUUAAGCCCAGGAAUUUGAGAUCAGCCUGGACAACAUGGUGAGACCCCCAUCUCUACAAAAAUUUUUUUUAAAAGUUACCCAGGCAUGGUGUUGCACAUCUGUGUUCCCAGCUACUGGGGAGGCUGAGACGGGAGGAUCACUUGAGUCCAGGAAGUUGAGAGGUUGAGGCUGCUGUGAGCUGUGAUUGUGCCACUGCACUUUAGCCUGGACAACAGAGGGAGACCCUGUCAACAACAACAACAACAACAAAAAAGCAAAACAUCAUAGGCUGCAGAAAUAAACUUUCUUGUCAAUUGUGUCUUUAACCAUGACCAUUUUGAGUCAUUUCCACAGUGAGUUGCCUAAUUUUGAUGCAUUUCUGAAAACUCUUUAUAAGCAAGUAAAAUCCUAGAGAAUUGUGCCUUCAAGGAGACUCAUGGAAAGGAUGGAAAGAACUCUUGAAUACAUGUUUCUGAUAGCUUUAUGAUCAUAUCAUUUGGACUGGGUAAGAAUUCCCAGAACUCAUGAAGAGACUGACUAUUUAUUAAUCCAAGCAGGAAAAGAAUUAAUUGAAUACCAAGGAAAUACUGUGCCAGAGAUUUUCAUGCUAAAUCAGUCAGCACCGAAAUCGUUAAGAUGUGUAGUUUGAAUGAACUCCAUGAUCCUAGUCAAAUUUCCUAUGAUGACCCAUUUAAUAAACAGUGCUAUGCACCUGAAUUGGAGAAACAGAAUUGAUACUUAAAUCCAAUGUUAAUCAUAGAUUCAUGGAAAGCCUAAAUGGCUGCUUGGGUCUUCCUGAGCCCUUAAAGCUUCCAUUAUUAAAGGCUCUGCACUUUAUAAGUUAUCACUGAAGAGAGAAAAUGAUCCAGAUUUAAAAUACACAUAUUGGUGUGGUGAAUGUUCUAAAUUGCGAAAAUGGUUUAUGACCAACAUUUGGUUUGUCAUGCUCACAAUCCUGGAAAUACAUUCAAAACUUCAGGUACAUUUCUGCUACCUGAUGGGCUAUUUGAAUAUAUAGAGAGGGAUUUCAUUCAAUUGCCAUUUUCAUUGCAUGUUUUUUGGUUGUAUAGAAGCUUUCCCAUGCAAGGAGGCUGAUGCUGUUAUUACAGUAGCUAAAAGGUUAGUAGGAAAUGUGUUUUCCCCCAUGGGGCAUUCCUGGAGAAAUCUCUAGCAAUAAAGGUACUUGUUUGACUGGACAAGUUGUAAAACAGUUUAAUAAGGUUUUUUUUAGGUGUCAUAGCAUUAGGCAAAGCUAACUGAAUUGACUGGAUUGUCAUAGUCAAACAUAUUGCAGAUCCGCUUCCAAUAGAAGACAAUGAAAUAGUCACUGGAAAGCCUGUGCUCCUAAUUUUAGAACCUCAUGUAUCUUCUGCUCCUAAACUCUGAUAGGACUAAAUGCUGUGAGGCCUCAAUGCAUUAUGUUAAUGUGUAUUUUCACCAGGUCAAGGAAGCUUUUCCUGAUCCACUAACUAAGGACAAUCAAACCCUUCAUGAUCUAGAAUCUGGAGACUGUGUCUUCUGGGAAUAGUAUCAGAGAAAGACUGCCCUUACUGCCCACAUGUAGCAAAACUUUGAGACGUUGAAUUAUGGGUCCAUAAUCUCACAACUCAGAGGGGCACCUCUAGACUCUUGGAACUGUAUAUCUAUUGGAGACUUUAAGGUAAAGCUGAACAGAGAGACGUUUUUCUCCAGAAGCAGACAGCACCAUAGUCAUGGACAGCUUUCCCAAGAUCACAGAUCAAGACUUCUCUGCCGUCAUGAGACUCAUAACCUCUUAAUUUUUUCUUGCUUAUGCUUCUGUGAACAAUAGAAUUGGAAAAGGGGUGGUCCCGCGUGCACCCAUAGGGUAUACUUUUAUUUGUGGAGGAUUUUGCUGCCAACCUUAUACAUGGGCAAACUUAUGCCUUCAUGGAUGGAAGAUAAAGGGCUAAUAUGGGUUAGAAAUUUUAAUGGUACCUUUGUUUCUCCAUAAUCAUUCAGAAACAGAACACUGGUCCACUCUUGUUAACCUACAUCAUAGGUUGAAGAGAACAUUGCCAGGAGGCCUUCAUCCUUCCAGAUGGGCACCAUUUGUUGGGUCUUUUUCCGUGGUAUGAAGAAAAUGAAGCAAUGAUUAGAAAUUGGUCCCUCGGCCGGGCACAAUGGCUCAUGCCUGUAAUCCCAUCACUUUGGCAGGCCGAGGCGGGUGGAUCACCUGAGGUCAGGAGUUUGAGACCAGCCUGACCAAUGUGGUGAAACGCCAUCUCUACUAAAAAUACAAAAAUUAGCUGGGUGUGAUGGUGCACACCUGUAAUCCAGCUACUCGGGAGGCUGAGACAGGAGAAUUGCUUGAACCUGGGAGGCAGAGGUUGCAGUGAGCCAAGAUCACCCCACUGCAUUCCAGGUUGGGCAACAGAGCAAGACUCUGUCUCAAAAAAAAAAGAAGAAAGAAAGAAAUUGAUCCCUCAUAAUAGGCUGUAUAGCAGAUUCUACUGCAAAGGCUAUGGUUGCACAACAGACUUCUUUGAAUUUGCUUGCUAAACUUUUACUGGAUAAUACUGGGAUUACAGGUGUGAGCCACUGUGCCCAGCCUCUCCUGUUUAACUGUAUUCAUUCUAAUGUUUACUUACUUCUUUAAUUUGUAAAAUUGGGUCACUUAGAGUUUUUUUAGCCUAUCUUGCCAUUUAGCCACUGUUACUGAUAAUUUGGAUGGAAAAGAAAAAUAAAUUAUAUCACCUCUCAUCUUCAGUGUAUAUAUGUGUUAACUUAGUAAAUAUAGUAUUCUUUCUCGUUCCUAAUGAAAAUUUAGUUUACGUACUGAAACACUGCAAACUUUUAUAAAUAUUGUGAUGUAUUUGACCAAUACAAAGGAUCUUUUUAGAAACAGCAAACAGUUCUCAGAUUAUAGGAAUUACUCAUUUAAUGAUAGUUUCUUCUUAAAAAAAAAAAAGAAAAAUGUUUAGUUACCGAAUCAUAAACAACCCCUUAAAAGACACUCAGAUAAUCUCAUGGGUCAGGAAGAUGAUGAUCAGUAUAUUUGGUUAAUAAAAUAUAGCAUAGAAAGCAUAAACCAUAAAUGGAAAAUAUAACAGAUUGUACCAAAGAGAAUACAUUGAAAUACAUUAAGAAAUCGGAUUUAAACUAUGAUUGGAUCCUUCUUUAGGUGGAAGUUAUUUGAGAGAAUAAUUCCAUGAAAAUUAAAAAUUCAUGAUUCUUUCAUUGUAGGCUAGAAAAAUGGAUUUAGUCAGCUGAGAUUAAGUAUGGGGGACUCUACAAGAACCUAUGCUAGGAUAAGAAUAUUGGAGGAAAAACAGUGGAUGAGGUACCAGAUGUUAUGGCAUUCCAUCUUUGUAAAUACAUGCAAUAAAAUCUGGUCUAUCUAGCUUUCUUUCAACCUAAAUGCCACUCACCAAUCUCACUACAUUUCUGCAGUACUGUAAUUGAGGUUUAUAAUGAUGACCCUGACAUGACUUGUGAAUCAUAGCAGAAGAUUAAAUUAUGUUCUGCUUUUUCCUUCAUGUAUUUAAUUAUAUUUAUAUUAGUUGCAAACUGGAAAUCUGAUCUGUUUUAAAACCCUGCUAGAUUAACCAGAGCCUCUUUAUCAGGGACCCAACCAUCCUUAAUAGCAGAGUUUAUAGUUCAUGGGGGGGAAAAAAAACCACCCAGGAACUGAUUUUAAAAUGUGACAUUUGUACUUUCAUAGCAAGAAUAAUUAUUACGAGAUAAUUUGGAAUCAUCCAGCCACAUUUUAAAUAACUAUAACAAAUGUGUUAAUAAUAAAUUCUAUAUAGCUACUUCUUUUUAAUAAGUAUACUUCAUAUUCUGUAGUGAGAAAAAAUUUACCUUUGAAUAAAUAAAUCUUCAUCUCGGAUCUGAUAGAAUGUGGUUAGUGUCAACAAGAUAACAGAUAUUAGGCAUAUUUUCAGUUGAAUUGGUUUGUAUGUAAAAGUUUGGUUUGAGGGUCCCAUCAAGCUGCUUCCCAUCUCACCUUUGGUUUACCCAGUGAUGUAUCGUGACCGUGGUGACGAAAAAGGUCUUCUAAUAAACGUGAAUAAGCAUGUGUUAUAGGUCAGAUUUCCUGCAAGAGGAGCCUGAGACAGAGAUUCUUGUUCAAAUGUCUUAUUGAGAAUGGUCUCUCAGGAGAGGGGAAUGUGGGAGGUAGAAUGGAGCAAGAGGAUAAAGCUAAAAAAAAAAAAAAAAGGUGUGGCCCCAGCUGGAGACUGGCUUUGAUCUGAUCCUGUGGGGAACCUGCUAU
rnacentral:lncRNA from 1 species